rnacentral:tRNA from 1 species
AGAAAGUUAGUCUAACUAAGACAGUUGAUUUCGACUCAACAGAUUAUAGCUCGCCCUAUAACUUUCUU